UACACACCGCCCGUCACACCAUGGGAGUCAGUUGCUCCAGAAGUGGGUUGCCUAACCGCAAGGAGGGCGCCCCCAAGGAGUGGCUGGUGACUGGGGUG
rnacentral:rRNA from 1 species